rnacentral:rRNA from 1 species
AGCAGCCGCGGUAAUUCCAGCUCCAAUAGCGUAUAUUAAAGUUGUUGCAGUUAAAAAGCUCGUAGUUGAAUUUCGGGACCAAUUUGUUGGUCGUGCCUCGGUACGUACUGGUAUUAUUGGUUUCUCCCUUCUGAAGAACCUUGAUGUCAUUAAUUUGGUGUCUUGGGGAAUCAGGACUGUUACUUUGAAAAAAUUAGAGUGUUUAAAGCAAGCAUACGCUUGAAUACAUUAGCAUGGAAUAAUGAAAUAGGACGUUUGAUUCUAUUUUGUUGGUUUCUAGGAUCGACGUAAUGAUUAAUAGGGAUAGUUGGGGGCAUUAGUAUUCAAUUGUCAGAGGUGAAAUUCUUGGAUUUAUUGAAGACUAACUACUGCGAAAGCAUUUGCCAAGGAUGUUUUCAUUAAUCAAGAACGAAAGUUAGGGGAUCGAAGACGAUCAGAUACCGUCGUAGUCUUAACCAUAAACUAUGCCGACUAGGGACCGGAUGAUGUAAUUUUUAAUGACUCAUUUCGGCGCCUUACG